rnacentral:rRNA from 1 species
GAAGUGUGGACGCCAGUCUGCAUGGAGCCGGCCUUGAAAUACCACCCUUUAAUGUUUGAUGUUCUAACGUUGGCCCCUGAUCGGGGUUGCGGACAGUGUCUGGUGGGUAGUUUGACUGGGGCGGUCUCCUCCUAAAGAGUAACGGAGGAGCACGAAGGUUGGCUAAUCCUGGUCGGACAUCAGGAGGUUAGUGCAAUGGCAUAAGCCAGCUUGACUGCGAGCGUGACGGCGCGAGCAGGUGCGAAAGCAGGUCAUAGUGAUCCGGUGGUUCUGAAUGGAAGGGCCAUCGCUCAACGGAUAAAAGGUACUCCGGGGAUAACAGGCUGAUACCGCCCAAGAGUUCAUAUCGACGGCGGUGUUUGGCACCUCGAUGUCGGCUCAUCACAUCCUGGGGCUGAAGUAGGUCCCAAGGGUAUGGCUGUUCGCCAUUUAAAGUGGUACGCGAGCUGGGUUUAGAACGUCGUGAGACAGUUCGGUCCCUAUCUGCCGUGGGCGCUGGAGAACUGAGGGGGGCUGCUCCUAGUACGAGAGGACCGGAGUGGACGCAUCACUGGUGUUCGGGUUGUCAUGCCAAUGGCACUGCCCGGUAGCUAAAUGCGGAAGAGAUAAGUGCUGAAAGCAUCUAAGCACGAAACUUGCCCCGAGAUGAGUUCUCCCUGACUCCUUGAGAGUCCUGAAGGAACGUUGAAGACGACGACGUUGAUAGGCCGGGUGUGUAAGCGCAGCGAUGCGUUGAGCUAACCGGUACUAAUGAACCGUGAGGCUUAACCUUACAACGCCGAAG